rnacentral:rRNA from 1 species
AUUGAACGCUGGCGGCAUGCCUUACACAUGCAAGUCGAACGGUAACGGGCCUUCGGGUGCCGACGAGUGGCGAACGGGUGAGUAAUGUAUCGGAACGUACCUUUCAGUGGGGGAUAACGUAGCGAAAGUUACGCUAAUAACGCAUAUUCUGUGAGCAGGAAAGCAGGGGAUCGCAAGACCUUGCGGUGAUUGAGGGGCCGAUGAGAAAAUAGCCAGUUGGUGAGGUAAAGGGCCACCAAGGCGACGAUCUGUAGCGGGUCUGAGAGGAUGGUCCGCCACACUGGAACUGAGACACGGUCCAGACUCCUACGGGAGGCAGCAGUGGGGAAUUUUGGACAAUGGGGGCAACCCUGAUCCAGCCAUGCCGCGUGAGUGAAGAAGGCCUUCGGGUUGUAAAGCUCUUUCGGCCGGGAAGAAAUCGUAUCAGCUAAUACCUGGUGCGGAUGACGGUACCGGCAUAAGAAGCACCGGCUAACUACGUGCCAGCCGCCGCCGUAAAAC